CUGAUCAGCCAAUGGCGAUGGUAGCGAAGACUGCUGCUCCCCACAGUGCUGUCUGUAUUAAUCAUCACCCAGGCUAACACAGAGUCCAUGACACCACAACUUGCUCAUGGCUCCUCCCCAAAGGUUGCUAUGCUGGCUCGUCCAGAGGCAGACUGCUGGAAUGGAGAAGAGCCAAUGCCCAUCUGGGGCACAGCCCUGCCUCAGCAUGGUUACUGGAUCCAGCUGAUGCAAAGGACGACCCACCCUGCAGUUCCUUGAUGGCACGGAUGAGCUGGGAUUUAUUCAAGCAUGGACCUUCCCUUGUGCCAGGGCAGGAGUAUCUUUUCAUUCUGACUGCAUUCUAAGACAUGGGAAUCCUUUCACCGACUAUUAAAAUGCACUUUC